AUGGCCGCACGGAGUGGGCAGGGCUGCUGGCCACGGGGGUUUGCGGCCACGUGUGGAAGUUCGGGCACAGGGAGCGGCCGCCGGCCUGGCCCACUUGCUUCCCAGAGCGCUGUGGGGUCGGACCGUCCCCAUCCCUGUCCUUCCCACACGGAUGGAUGCAGGGGCUGCCCUGUCCGCGGAUGGACACGUCCCUUCUUAGGAGGCGCUGGCCUUAAACGCGGCUGUGCCCCCACCCCGUCCCCGCGCUUUCCUGAGCGUGUGGCCACUUUCGGGCAGAUUUGCAGACGUGGGUGCGGAAGCCAGGCCUUCGCCCGUACCACGUGCUGCCGCUGGUCCUCGCUUGUCUGUCUUUUUACCUCCUUACGGCGGGAUUUUUAUCAUUUCGAAGUUCUGGGCUGCCUUUCACAGUCUCCGAGUCCCUGCACGCUCACACCGGACCGAGACUGUGUGACGUCUCCUGCUGCUUCUGGAGUCUCGGUCCCCGUUUCUCUGUGUCGCUUGUGGAUUCCCUGGAAGGAUCCCGGGGUUUACUCCUGGGCACUUGGUGCCGGAGUCGCCGUGGUGGUGGUAGACGGCGUCACCUUCCCGCGGUCCCUUUAACGGGUCACGGUCUUCGCAGGACGUGUGUGGACUAUGACGCGUGGUCUUCCGCUGACCUGUUUGCGACGUGCCCACGGCCCUGCCUUCCCGAAAUACAAGUCACUUUACCUCCGUUUCCCCCUCUUUAUGCCUCUGAUUUCUGCAUUUUUACCAAAUUGCAUCAAGGUAACAUUGAACAUCUUUGUCUGUCUUCUGACUUAAGGAGGGUAAUGAUAAUAUUCCCUUAGGAUGAUGGAAAAUGCUCGUUUCUUCCCAAUUAAUUGAGAGCUUUUAAUCAAAAAUGGAUGUUUAGAUUUUAUCAAAUUCCUUUCAGGCAUUUAUGGAAAUAAUCAUGUUUUGUUUUUUUCUGUUUAAGAUCAUUACGUGCUGAUUUAUAAGAAUAAAUGCCCACGUGUUACGCUGCCUUUGAAUUCCCAGGACGAGCCCACCUGGUCGUCCUUUUCUUUUUCUUUCUUUUUUUUUUUUCUUUCUUUAUUUGUGCUGUUAAAUUCUGCUCGCUAAUAGUUUACUUAUUGCAGGUUUUUACAUUGAUGUGCACAGCAAGGUUGGUCUGUAGCUUCCACUCGUGUGCCGCCUUGGUCGGAAUGAGACACCGAGGUCGUCCUGUCUUCAUCGACCCCACCUGGGAGCUUGCCUCCUUUUCUGCACUCCGCGACUCUUCAUGGAAGAUGAAUUAUUAAUUGUUAUUUAUUAGCAAUUACUUAAUUGUUAUUAAUUAUUUUUAAUUAUUAAUUAAAGAGACCUGUGUCCCGGCCACGCUGAGUCCCCGCCUCCGAGGACACCCGAGUCCCCGCUCCUCUCUGCAGGGCCCAGCGUGGGGUCGGCUCUGCCGUGAGGUCCCGCGGCCUGUCCGCCGUGGGCCGGGUCUGCGUCCCGGGGUGCGCGGCCGAGCCACCGUCC
rnacentral:lncRNA from 1 species